rnacentral:rRNA from 1 species
CCUACGGGGGGCAGCAGUAGGGAAUAUUGCUCAAUGGGGGAAACCCUGAAGCAGCAACGCCGCGUGGAGGAUGAAGGUUUUCGGAUUGUAAACUCCUUUUGUUAGAGAAGAUAAUGACGGUAUCUAACGAAUAAGCACCGGCCAACUCCGUGCCAGCAGCCGCGGUAAUACGGAGGAUGCGAGCGUUAUCCGGAUUUAUUGGGUUUAAAGGGGGCGUAGGCGGUCCGUUAAGUACGCGGGAAAAUUGCGGGGCUAAACCCCGACGAGCCGUUGAAACUGGCAGACUUGAGUUUGCGAGAAGUACGCGGAAGGCGCGGUGUAGCGGUGAAAUGCAUAGAUAUCGCGCAGAACUCCGAUUGCGAAGGCAGCGUACCGGCGCCAGACUGACGCUGAGGCACGAAAGCGUGGGGAUCGAACAGGAUUGGAUACCCUGGUAGUC